UACGUAGGGUGCGAGCGUUAAUCGGAAUUACUGGGCGUAAAGCGUGCGCAGGCGGCGCGUUAAGACAGGUGUGAAAGCCCCGAGCUUAACCUGGGAAUUGCGCUUGUGACUGGCGUGCUGGAGUGUGGCAGAGGGAGGUGGAAUUCCACGUGUAGCAGUGAAAUGCGCAGAUAUCGGGAGGAACACCAAUGGCGAAGGCAGCUCGCUGGGACGUUACUGACGCUGAGACGCGAAAGCGUGGGGAGCAAACAGG
rnacentral:rRNA from 1 species